UUUGAUGCGGUGCCUUCCGAGUUCCCUGGAACGGGACGCCAUAGAGGGUGAGAGCCCCGUCUGGUUGGAUGCCAAAUCUCUGUAAAGCUCCUUCAACGAGUCGAGUAGUUUGGGAAUGCUGCUCUAAAUGGGAGGUAUAUGUCUUCUAAAGCUAAAUACCGGCCAGAGACCGAUAGCGCACAAGUAGAGUGAUCGAAAGAUGAAAAGCACUUUGAAAAGAGAGUUAAAAAGUACGUGAAAUUGUUGAAAGGGAAGCGUUUAUGACCAGACUUGGGCUUGGUUAAUCAUCUGGGGUUCUCCCCAGUGCACUUUUCCAGUCCAGGCCAGCAUCAGUUUUCCCCGGGGGAUAAAGGCGGCGGGAAUGUGGCUCUCUUCGGGGAGUGUUAUAGCCCGCCGUGUAAUACCCUGGGGGGGACUGAGGUUCGCGCAUCUGCAAGGAU
rnacentral:rRNA from 1 species